AGCAUAUCAAUAAGCGGAGGAAAAGAAACCAACAGGGAUUGCCCUAGUAACGGCGAGUGAAGCGGCAACAGCUCAAAUUUGAAAUCUGGCUCUUUCAGAGUCCGAGUUGUAAUUUGCAGAGGGCGCUUUGGCUUUGGCAGCGGUCCAAGUUCCUUGGAACAGGACGUCACAGAGGGUGAGAAUCCCGUACGUGGUCGCUAGCUAUUGCCGUGUAAAGCCCCUUCGACGAGUCGAGUUGUUUGGGAAUGCAGCUCUAAAUGGGAGGUAAAUUUCUUCUAAAGCUAAAUAUUGGCCAGAGACCGAUAGCGCACAAGUAGAGUGAUCGAAAGAUGAAAAGCACUUUGGAAAGAGAGUCAAACAGCACGUGAAAUUGUUGAAAGGGAAGCGCUUGCAGCCAGACUUGCUUGCAGUUGCUCAUCCGGGCUUUUGCCCGGUGCACUCUUCUGUAGGCAGGCCAGCAUCAGUUUGGGCGGUGGGAUAAAGGUCUCUGUCACGUACCUCUCUUCGGGGAGGCCUUAUAGGGGAGACGACAUACCACCAGCCUAGACUGAGGUCCGCGCAUCUGCUAGGAUGCUGGCGUAAUGGCUGUAAGCGGCCCGU
rnacentral:rRNA from 1 species